UGUGUGUGUGUGUGUGUGUGUGUGUGUGUGUGUCGAAGGAGUGAAAGUGUAUUUGCACACGGCUGACUACUUGUGUGUGUGUCUCUCCAUGACACCAGUACACACUACACACCCUUCCAGGCAGAUGGAUGACUUGACACGGUUUCUUCCCAGGGCCCUCUUACACGUAUCAAUCUGGAAAAAAUACAGCCAAGUAGAUCGCUGGUGGGAUCAACAGUGGAGGAGGAAAAAUGUCAAUAACGUGAGUCAGUUUCGUUAUUGAGUCUGUUUAGCUGAUUGGAGAGCUAGCUUCCGCAGCUAGUGGGUCUUCUGUUUUGUUUGCUCAGCCGUUUUACUGCCUUGUCAAAGACACCACUUGGAAACCGUUAAGGAGGUCCCUAAAAACAGCAGAAGGAUCCUGUCUACAGAAUACAUUUUUGCAGAGGUCCCUAAAAACAGCAGAAGAAUCCUGCCUACAGAAUAUCUGAGGUCCCUAAAAACAGCAGAAGGAUCCUGUCUACAGGAUAUCUGUGACUUGCAUUUUUGCUGUAGGUUUUUGUCUUUGACAAGUGUUUUUGCAGUAGAUCCCAAAAAACAGCACAUUGGUGCUGUCUUCUAACUGGUGUUUUUGACAGGAGAUCCCUAAA